UGGGGAAUAUUGGACAAUGGACCGAGAGUCUGAUCCAGCAAUUCUGUGUGCACGAUGAAGUUUUUCGGAAUGUAAAGUGCUUUCAGUUGGGAAGAAAGAAAUGACGGUACCAACAGAAGAAGUGACGGCUAAAUACGUGCCAGCAGCCGCGGUAAUACGUAUGUCACGAGCGUUAUCCGGAUUUAUUGGGCGUAAAGCGCGUCUAGGUGGUUAUAUAAGUCUGAUGUGAAAAUGCAGGGCUCAACUCUGUAUUGCGUUGGAAACUGUAUAACUAGAGUACUGGAGAGGUAAGCGGAACUACAAGUGUAGAGGUGAAAUUCGUAGAUAUUUGUAGGAAUGCCGAUGGGGAAGCCAGCUUACUGGACAGAUACUGACGCUGAAGCGCGAAAGCGUGGGUAGCAAACAGGAUUAGAUACCCUGGUAGUCCACGCUGUAAACGAUGAUUACUAGGUGUUGGGGGUCGAACCUCAGCGCCCAAGCAAACGCGAUAAGUAAUCCGCCUGGGGAGUACGUACGCNAAGUAUG
rnacentral:rRNA from 1 species